AACGAACGCUGGCGGCAGGCCUAACACAUGCAAGUCGAGCGAGGACUUCGGUUCUAGCGGCGGACGGGUGAGUAACGCGUGGGAAUGUGCCCUUCUCUACGGAAUAGCCCUGGGAAACUGGGAGUAAUACCGUAUACGCCCUAUUGGGGAAAGAUUUAUCGGAGAAGGAUCAGCCCGCGUUGGAUUAGGUAGUUGGUGGGGUAAUGGCCUACCAAGCCGACGAUCCAUAGCUGGUUUGAGAGGAUGAUCAGCCACACUGGGACUGAGACACGGCCCAGACUCCUACGGGAGGCAGCAGUGGGGGAUCUUAGACAAUGGGGGCAACCCUGAUCUAGCCAUGCCGCGUGAGUGAUGAAGGCCUUAGGGUUGUAAAGCUCUUUCAGCUGGGAAGAUAAUGACGGUACCAGCAGAAGAAGCCCCGGCUAACUCCGUGCCAGCAGCCGCGGUAAUACGGAGGGGGCUAGCGUUGUUCGGAAUUACUGGGCGUAAAGCGCACGUAGGCGGACCGGAAAGUCAGAGGUGAAAUCCCAGGGCUCAACCUUGGAACUGCCUUUGAAACUAUCGGUCUGGAGUUCGAGAGAGGUGAGUGGAAUUCCGAGUGUAGAGGUGAAAUUCGUAGAUAUUCGGAGGAACACCAGUGGCGAAGGCGGCUCACUGGCUCGAUACUGACGCUGAGGUGCGAAAGCGUGGGGAGCAAACAGG
rnacentral:rRNA from 1 species